GGAGACGUGGGUGAGUGGCUGAAACCAACGCUUUGCUAAAGCGUCAUACGGGAAACCGUAUCGAGGGUUCGAAUCCCUCCGUCUCCG
rfam:Sphingomonas sp. 66-10 SCNpilot_cont_300_bf_scaffold_756, whole genome shotgun sequence.